GACGAACGCUGGCGGCGUGCCUAAUACAUGCAAGUAGAACGCUGAAGAGAGGAGCUUGCUCUUCUUGGAUGAGUUGCGAACGGGUGAGUAACGCGUAGGUAACCUGCCUUGUAGCGGGGGAUAACUAUUGGAAACGAUAGCUAAUACCGCAUAACAAUGGAUGACACNUGUCAUUUAUUUGAAAGGGGCAAUUGCUCCACUACAAGAUGGACCUGCGUUGUAUUAGCUAGUAGGUGAGGUAACGGCUCACCUAGGCGACGAUACAUAGCCGACCUGAGAGGGUGAUCGGCCACACUGGGACUGAGACACGGCCCAGACUCCUACGGGAGGCAGCAGUAGGGAAUCUUCGGCAAUGGGGGCAACCCUGACCGAGCAACGCCGCGUGAGUGAAGAAGGUUUUCGGAUCGUAAAGCUCUGUUGUAAGUCAAGAACGAGUGUGAGAGUGGAAAGUUCACACUGUGACGGUAGCUUACCAGAAAGGGACGGCUAACUACGUGCCAGCAGCCGCGGUAAUACGUAGGUCCCGAGCGUUGUCCGGAUUUAUUGGGCGUAAAGCGAGCGCAGGCGGUUUGAUAAGUCUGAAGUUAAAGGCUGUGGCUCAACCAUAGUUCGCUUUGGAAACUGUCAAACUUGAGUGCAGAAGGGGAGAGUGGAAUUCCAUGUGUAGCGGUGAAAUGCGUAGAUAUAUGGAGGAACACCGGUGGCGAAAGCGGCUCUCUGGUCUGUAACUGACGCUGAGGCUCGAAAGCGUGGGGAGCGAACAGG
rnacentral:rRNA from 1 species